UACGUAGGCAGCGAGCGUUGUUCGGAGUUACUGGGCGUAAAGAGUGCGUAGGCGGUUUUCUAAGUUUGGUGUGAAAUCUCCCGGCUUAACUGGGAGGGUGCGCCGAAAACUGGAAGGCUUGAGUAUGGGAGAGGUAAGCGGAAUUCCUGGUGUAGCGGUGAAAUGCGUAGAUAUCAGGAGGAACACCUGCGGUGUAGACGGCUUACUGGACCAUAACUGACGCUGAAGCACGAAAGCGUGGGUAGCAAACAGG
rnacentral:rRNA from 1 species